AGGAACCUUACCCGGGCUUGAAAGUUACUUGGAGUAAUCGCUUGAGAUGGAUUCGUUCCGUUCGUGGACAGGGAACUAUGGGUGGCUGCGAUGGUCUGGCUGUCAGGUCUGUGCCGGUGAGGUGGUUGUGGAUUAAUGUCCCGGCAACUGAGGCGCGCACCCGCGUGCGUAAUGAGCUGCCAGCAUGUAAAGGUGGGGACUCUAUUCAGACUGGCUGUGCAAGCAGAGAGGAAGGAGGGGACGACGUCAAGUCNUCGUGGCCCUUACGUCGGGGGCUACACACGUGCUACAAUGGUCAGUACAGAGGGCAGCUACCUGGUAACAGGAUGCCAAUCUCAAAAAGCUGAUCACAGUUCGGAUUGAGGUCUGCAACUCGACCUCAUGAAGUUGGAUUCGCUAGUAAUCGCGUAUCAGCAAUGACGCGGUGAAUACGUUCCCGGGCCUUGUACACACCGCCCGUCAAGCCAUGGAAGUUGGGGGUACCUGAAGUCGGUAACCGUAAGGAGCCGCCUAGGGUAAAACCGAUAGCUGGGGCUAAGUCGUAACAAGGUAGCCGUA
rnacentral:rRNA from 1 species